UAGCUCUGGUUUCUCUUCAGAUCGCAUAAAUCUUUCUCCUUCUACUAAAGAUUUCUAUGGCGAGGAACAAUUUGGAGUUGUAGAUCAAUUUUUUGAGGCCUUGUGUUUGGGGAA